GAAUUCGCCCUUAGAGUUUGAUCCUGGCUCAGGACGAACGCUGGCGGCGUGCUUAACACAUGCAAGUCGAACGGAGUACCCUCGAAAGAGAUUUCGGUCAAUGGAGAGGACUACUUAGUGGCGGACGGGUGAGAACGCGUGAGGAACCUGCCUUUCAGUGGGGGACAACAGUUGGAAACGACUGCUAAUACCGCAUAACGUACUGGUAUCGCAUGGUACUGGUACCAAAGAUUUAUCGCUGAGAGAUGGCCUCGCGUCUGAUUAGCUAGUUGGUAGGGUAACGGCCUACCAAGGCGACGAUCAGUAGCCGGACUGAGAGGUUGGCCGGCCACAUUGGGACUGGGAUACGGCCCAGACUCCUACGGGAGGCAGCAGUGGGGAAUAUUGGGCAAUGGGCGCAAGCCUGACCCAGCAACGCCGCGUGAAGGAAGAAGGCUUUCGGGUUGUAAACUUCUUUUGACAGGGAAGAGCAGAAGACGGUACCUGUCGAAUAAGCCACGGCUAACUACGUGCCAGCAGCCGCGGUAAUACGUAGGUGGCAAGCGUUGUCCGGAUUUACUGGGUGUAAAGGGCGUGUAGCCCGGGCUGACAAGUCAGAUGUGAAAUCCGGGGGCUCAACCCCCGAACUGCAUUUGAAACUGUUGGUCUUGAGUAUCGGAGAGGCAGGCGGAAUUCCUAGUGUAGCGGUGAAAUGCGUAGAUAUUAGGAGGAACACCAGUGGCGAAGGCGGCCUGCUGGACGACAACUGACGGUGAGGCGCGAAAGCGUGGGGAGCAAACAGGAUUAGAUACCCUGGUAGUCCACGCUGUAAACGAUGGAUACUAGGUGUGCGGGGACUGACCCCCUGCGUGCCGCAGCUAACGCAAUAAGUAUCCCACCUGGGGAGUACGAUCGCAAGGUUGAAACUCAAAGGAAUUGACGGGGGCCCGCACAAGCGGUGGAUUAUGUGGUUUAAUUCGAUGCAACGCGAAGAACCUUACCAGGGCUUGACAUCCUACUAACGAAGUAGAGAUACAUUAGGUACCCUUCGGGGGAAGUAGAGACAGGUGGUGCAUGGUUGUCGUCAGCUCGUGUCGUGAGAUGUUGGGUUAAGUCCCGCAACGAGCGCAACCCUUAUUGUUAGUUGCUACGCAAGAGCACUCUAGCGAGACUGCCGUUGACAAAACGGAGGAAGGUGGGGACGACGUCAAAUCAUCAUGCCCCUUAUGUCCUGGGCUACACACGUAAUACAAUGGCGGUCAACAGAGGGAUGCAAAACCGUGAGGUGGAGCGAACCCCUAAAAGCCGUCCCAGUUCAGAGAGCAGUCUGCAACCCGACUGCGUGAAGUCGGAAUCGCUAGUAAUCGCGGAUCAGCAUGCCGCGGUGAA
rnacentral:rRNA from 1 species